GACCCUUCCGGGAGGCUUGCACAGGUGCUGCAUGGCUGUCGUCAGCUCGUGUCGUGAGAUGUUCGGUUAAGUCCGCUAACGAGCGCAACCCUCGCUGUGUGUUACAAGUGUCACACGGUACUGCCGGUCUUAAGCCGGGGAAGGUGGGGAUGACGUCAAGUCAGCAUGGCCUUUACGUCCUGGGCUACACACACGCUACAAUGGCCAACACAAUAGGUUGCUAAGCCGCGAGGUGGAGCCAAUCCUCAAAGUUGGUCUCAGUUCAGAUUGCAGGCUGCAACCCGCCUGCAUGAAGAUGGAGUUGCUAGUAACCGCAGGUCAGCUAUACUGCGGUGAAUACGUUCCCGGGGCUU
rnacentral:rRNA from 1 species